rfam:Stegodyphus mimosarum contig110589, whole genome shotgun sequence.
GCUUUCGUGGUGUAACGGUCAGCACACUCGGCGCAUAUUCGAGAAAUCCGAGGUUCGAGUCCUGGCGAGAGCA